AACGUAGGAGACAAACGUUAUCCGGAGUUACUGGGCGUAAAGGGCGUGUAGGUGGUAUCGUAAGUCUGGCGUGAAAUUUCUCGGCUUAACCGAGGCAGGUCGUCGGAUACUGCGAGGCUAGAGGACGGUAGAGGCGUGUGGAAUUCCGGGUGUAGUGGUGAAAUGCGUAGAGAUCCGGAGGAACACCAGUGGCGAAGGCGACACGCUGGGCCGUACCUGACACUGAUGCGCGACAGCAUGGGGAGCAAACAGG
rnacentral:rRNA from 1 species